rnacentral:sRNA from 6 species
GUUUGCACUUGUCGGGGAAGGGUGAGAACAUUCGAUUAAGGUUCGACUCGAGCGAAAGCGAGAGAACGUUGCCAACGGCAACGGCCCGUAGGGUGAGGAGCGAAGCGACGAAUAAUCCUUCCCCCACCACCA